rnacentral:rRNA from 1 species
AACCCUACGGGGCGCAGCAGUGAGGAAUAUUGGUCAAUGGGCGGGAGCCUGAACCAGCCAAGCCGCGUGAAGGAAGAAGGCGCCAGGCGUCGUAAACUUCUUCUGUCGGGGAGCAACGAGGCCACGUGUGGCCGAAGUGAGAGUACCCGAAGAAAAAGCAUCGGCUAACUCCGUGCCAGCAGCCGCGGUAAUACGGAGGAUGCGAGCGUUAUCCGGAUUUAUUGGGUUUAAAGGGUGCGUAGGCGGAACAUUAAGUUAGCGGUAAAAUCGAGGGGCUCAACCCCUUUAAGCCGUUGAAACUGGUG